rnacentral:lncRNA from 1 species
GCCAGCCUGGCUCAGAGAACCCAGCAUGGCCCAGAUACUAAUGAUCUUAGGUAAAUGCUGCCGGCUGAGCCUGCCCUCCUGGCCCUGGGGAACAGGGUUCACCGGGGCCCUGGCACUCNGGUUCAACGGGGCCCUGGCACUCACCCCUCUUCUCUUCUCGCCCCCUUAGCUCUCGGCACCAUCCUGACCAAUGUGACCCAGGACAGACCGUUGCCUUGGCCUUGGCACCCAGAUCUGUGCCAAGCCUUUGGGUGCCAGGAGCCAGUGAAGCAGGACGAAUGCGAGAAGGAACUCUACAAUAUCCAGACCCACCUUUGCUGCAGGAACUUCACACACAGUAAGGUGAUGGAAAAACCCAGCCCGACUUCCGAAUGCUGUGGCUUCGAAGUCUAUGAUCAGAAAACGCAGGAGUGUUGCGAAGACCUCAGCAUAAAGCCCAAGCAGGACUGCAGACAAAUGGGCAAGAAAUCCGUCUCCUGCAGAUCAGGUGCGGAGAGAUGCGGCUCUCUCUCAGCAGCGCCGGGUGAAAAGCGUAAGUAGGAAUUGCUGGAGUGAGGA